UCCUCCCUCUUUCUUCGUGCUUAACACAUGCAAGUCGAACGGAAAGGCCCUGCUUUUGUGGGGUGCUCGAGUGGCGAACGGGUGAGUAACACGUGAGUAACCUGCCCUUGACUUUGGGAUAACUUCAGGAAACUGGGGCUAAUACCGGAUAGGAGCUCCUGCUGCAUGGUGGGGGGUGGAAAGUUUCGGCGGUUGGGGAUGGACUCGCGGCUUAUCAGCUUGUUGGUGGGGUAGUGGCUUACCAAGGCUUUGACGGGUAGCCGGCCUGAGAGGGUGACCGGCCACAUUGGGAAGGAGAUACGGCCCAGACGCCUACGGGAGGGAGAAGGGGGGAAUAUUGCACAAUGGGCGGAAGCCUGAUGCAGCAACGCCGCGUGCGGGAGGACGGCCUUCGGGUUGUAAACCGCUUUCGCAUGUGACGAAGCGUGAGGGAAGGGAAUGGGGAAAGAAGCACCGGCUAACUACGU
rnacentral:rRNA from 1 species